GACGAACGCUGGCGGCGUGCUUAACACAUGCAAGUCGAACGGAAAGGCCCUGCUUUUGUGGGGUGCUCGAGUGGCGAACGGGUGGGUAACACGUGAGUAACCUGCCAUUGACUUUGGGAUAACUUCAGGAAACUGGGGCUAAUCCCGGAUAGGAGCUCCUGCUGCAUGGUGGGGGUUGGAAAGUUUCGGCGGUUGGGGAUGGACUCGCGGCUUAUCAGCUUGUUGGUGGGGUAGUGGCUUACCAAGGCUUUGACGGGUAGCCGGCCUGAGAGGGUGACCGGCCAAAUUGGGACUGAGAUACGGCCCAGACUCCUACGGGAGGCAGCAGUGGGGAAUAGUGCACAAUGGGCGGAAGCCUGAUGCAGCAACGCCGCGUGCGGGAUGACGGCCUUCGGGUUGUAAACCGCUUUCGCCUGUGACGAAGCGUGAGUGACGGUAAUGGGUAAAGAAGCACCGGCUAACUACGUG
rnacentral:rRNA from 1 species